rnacentral:lncRNA from 1 species
UUGGAUGCCAACCAUAAGAAGCCUCUCCCUUUUGUGCGUGAAUAAGAUUUACCACCGAACAAGAGAGGAAAGAUUCUAGGUGUGCAUGAAAUUAAGUGAGGGGCAUCCCAUCUUGUUGUGAGGAAAAGGGCUAGGGUUCAUCCAAGGGUGGGUGUUUGGAAGAGAGAAAAAAAAAGAGAGAAAUAGUUUUUCUUUCUUCAUUUUCUAUCUCCACCUCAUCAUCCUCCAAGUCCUUCUUCACCUCCUAGAAGAGUCUGAGUGAUCUGAAGAAGGAGCUCGAUCAGCUGUC